GGGAACAUGGCUCAGUGGUAGAGUGCUUGUCUAGCAUGCAUGAAGCCCUGGGUUCGAUUCCUCAGUACCA
rnacentral:tRNA from 1 species